GGAUGAACGCUGGCGGCGUGCUUAACACAUGCAAGUCGAACGAUCCUUCGGGAUAGUGGCGGACGGGUGAGUAACGCGUGGGAAUCUGCCCUCAGGAGGGGGAUAACGGCUGGAAACGGCCGCUAAUACCCCAUAUGCCGAGAGGUGAAAUGAAUUUCGCCUGAGGAUGAGCCCGCGUCUGAUUAGCUAGUUGGUGGGGUAACGGCCCACCAAGGCGACGAUCAGUAGCUGGUCUGAGAGGAUGAUCAGCCACACUGGGACUGAGACACGGCCCAGACUCCUACGGGAGGCAGCAGUGGGGAAUUUUCCGCAAUGGGCGAAAGCCUGACGGAGCAACGCCGCGUGAGGGAUGAAGGCCUCUGGGCUGUAAACCUCUUUUCUCAAGGAAGAAGACCUGACGGUACUUGAGGAAUAAGCCACGGCUAAUUCCGUGCCAGCAGCCGCGGUAAUACGGGAGUGGCAAGCGUUAUCCGGAAUUAUUGGGCGUAAAGCGUCCGCAGGCGGCUUUGUAAGUCUGUUGUUAAAGCGUGGAGCUUAACUCCAUUUAAGCAAUGGAAACUACAAGGCUGGAGUGUGGUAGGGGCAGAGGGAAUUCCCGGUGUAGCGGUGAAAUGCGUAGAUAUCGGGAAGAACACCAGUGGCGAAGGCGCUCUGCUGGGCCAUAACUGACGCUCAUGGACGAAAGCCAGGGGAGCGAAAGGGAUUAGAUACCCCUGUAGUCCUGGCCGUAAACGAUGAACACUAGGUGUCGGGGGAAUCGACCCCCUCGGUGUCGUAGCCAACGCGUUAAGUGUUCCGCCUGGGGAGUACGCACGCAAGUGUGAAACUCAAAGGAAUUGACGGGGGCCCGCACAAGCGGUGGAGUAUGUGGUUUAAUUCGAUGCAACGCGAAGAACCUUACCAGGGUUUGACAUCCUGCGAACCCCUGAGAAAUCGGGGGGUGCCUUCGGGAGCGCAGAGACAGGUGGUGCAUGGCUGUCGUCAGCUCGUGUCGUGAGAUGUUGGGUUAAGUCCCGCAACGAGCGCAACCCACGUCUUUAGUUGCCAGCAUUCAGUUGGGCACUCUAGAGAGACCGCCGGUGAUAAACCGGAGGAAGGUGUGGAUGACGUCAAGUCAUCAUGCCCCUUACAUCCUGGGCUACACACGUACUACAAUGCUACGGACAAAGGGCAGCAAGCUCGCGAGAGUUAGCAAAUCCCAUAAACCGUGGCUCAGUUCAGAUCGUAGGCUGCAACUCGCCUACGUGAAGGAGGAAUCGCUAGUAAUCGCAGGUCAGCAUACUGCGGUGAAUACGUUCCCGGGCCUUGUACACACCGCCCGUCACACCAUGGAAGUUGGCCAUGCCCGAAGUCGUUACUCCAACCCUUGUGGAGGAGGACGCCGAAGGUGGGGCUGAUGACUGGGGUGAAGUCGUAACAAGGUA
rnacentral:rRNA from 1 species